GCCCCUGUAUCCCAACGGCAGAGGAAGCGGUCUGAGAGGCCGUUCAGUGAGGGUUCGAAUCCCUCUGGGGGCAC
rnacentral:tRNA from 14 species